UUCUCCUACUGUAGGUUUCUGGAGAGUGUAGAUGUUUUAUGCAAGUCAGACAAUCUUACUGAAAGCUGGAUUUCUGCUCCAGAGUUCAGAAAUAUUCUCAACAAACUCAAGCUUCACCUGAAAGAUCCUGAUUUCGAAAAAUUAUGGAAAAGGUUUGAAUUUACUUAUUUGUUAAUUUAUUUAUUAUUAAUUUAUUAAUUCUGCCAUCAAAUUGGUUCACAGAUUUUAGAAUAAAAUUGUAAUUAAAAAACUAUAAUAAGAAAUUCUCCAUCUCUAUUAAACAGGUUAGAUGUGGAUGGACUUGGUGCAGUUAAGCAAACGAUUUUUCUAAAGAAAUUGGGAUUGAGCAGAAGGACUGAACCAAACAAUGAGAGAAACACUUCUAUUACUGUUAAAGCUGAAGACACCAAAGCUUCUGGUAGGACACUCUCUAAGGCGGAAGAGGAGCGUCACACAUCUAUCACCAUAGAGACAUGGCUGAAGAACAGAUUUAGGGAAGGAGCUCAGAGGAUGAAAACUGAGUUUGAUAAACUGGACCCUGAGAACAGUGGAAAGGUAGCAAAUGGCAUCAGACAUCACAAACAGACUAGUACAAAAAUGUUUGUCAUAUUGAUUUGUGUAAAUAUCCUGCGUUCUGUUCGUAGGUGAGGGGUGCAGACUUUCUGCAGGUGCUGAGGAAGUUUGACCUGCAUCUGAAGAGAGAGCACCUGGGUCUGUUUUUGUCUCGGUGUGGUUUGAAGCUAAAAAAGGGUUGUGUACAGUAUUUGAACUUUCUGCGCACCUUCCAGGACAGAAGUUCAGAUGGCAUCACUCAUAAGAUAAUCUCCAACCCAAAACACAGGUCAGAUUUACAUCAUAGCAAUAUGAUAAUAAUAUUUAUUCAUAUGGAGCUUUGAUCCCUCCAGGUUCAAAACACCUGCAAAAAUAUGCUUAAUCAGUGGCAAGAGAAGCCAUUCCUAAUAUUUCCAUAGGGACAUAGAUAUAAAUUAACUGUCCAUAUUCAAGUGGAUUAAUACAGGCAUAUGCCAGUUGUCUUAUUCGUAUUUCUAAAAAUAAGAAUUUUGAUUUAAUUUGGAUAUGACAAUCACUUUGCUGGAUUUACACAACACAUAUAUAAUUCAAUUGUAAUCUAAAUUUAAUAUCAAAAUAUUUAUCAGAAUUUUGCAAGGAGAACACUUCACCUUUGAACACUACUAUUUAAAUGUAUGGGGUAAGAUUUUAUUUUUGAAAGAAAUUAAUAGUUAUAUUCAUCAAAGAUUUAUUAAAUGAAUCUAAUUUACAAUGCUACAAACAAUUUAAAUUUUUUCUAUUUUAUUUUGAACUUUUUAUUCAUCUUUUAUUCAUAUCAAUCAAUGUCAGUUUCCACAAAUAUAUUAAGCAGUACAAAUGUUUCAACAUUGAUAAUAACAAUAAAUGGACCACAAAAUCAGUCUUCA
ensembl:lncRNA